GCCACGCCCGCUCAGAAACUCAAAGGAAUUGACGGGGCCCGCACAAGCGGUGGAGUAUGUGGUUAAUUCGAUGCAACGCGAAGAACCUUACCUGGUCUUGACAUCCCGGAGACCCUUAGGAAACUAGGGGGUGCUUCCAUCUGGAAGAAUCUGGAGACAGGUGCUGCAUGGCUGUCGUCAGCUCGUGUCGUGAGAUGUUGGGUUAAGUCCCGCAACGAGCGCAACCCUUGCCUUUAGUUGCCAGCAGUUCGGCUGGGCACUCUAAAGGGACUGCCGGUGUUAAACCGGAGGAAGGUGGGGAUGACGUCAAGUCCUCAUGGCCUUUAUGACCAGGGCUACACACGUACUACAAUGGCCGAUACAAAGGGCAGCGACACUGCGAGGUGAAGCCAAUCCCGUAAAAUCGGUCUCAGUCCGGAUUGGAGUCUGCAACUCGACUCCAUGAAGUUGGAAUCGCUAGUAAUCGUGGAUCAGCAUGCCACGGUGAAUACGUUCCCGGGCCUU
rnacentral:rRNA from 1 species